UUUGAGUUUGAUCGUGGCUCAGAUUGAGCGCGAGCGGGAGGCUUAACACAUGCAAGUCGAGCGGUAGCACAGGGGAGCUUGCUCCCUGGGUGACGAGCGGCGGACGGGUGAGUAAUGUCUGGGAAACUGCCUGAUGGAGGGGGAUAACUACUGGAAACGGUAGCUAAUACCGCAUAACGUCGCAAGACCAAAGAGGGGGACCUUCGGGCCUCUUGCCAUCAGAUGUGCCCAGAUGGGAUUAGCUAGUAGGUGGGGUAAUGGCUCACCUAGGCGACGAUCCCUAGCUGGUCUGAGAGGAUGACCAGCCACACUGGAACUGAGACACGGUCCAGACUCCUACGGGAGGCAGCAGUGGGGAAUAUUGCACAAUGGGCGCAAGCCUGAUGCAGCCAUGCCGCGUGUGUGAAGAAGGCCUUCGGGUUGUAAAGCACUUUCAGCGAGGAGGAAGGUGGUGAACUUAAUACGUUCAUCAAUUGACGUUACUCGCAGAAGAAGCACCGGCUAACUCCGUGCCAGCCGCCGCCGUAACACAAA
rnacentral:rRNA from 1 species